CACGCAAACGAAAAAAAAUCGACUUCAAUUACAUCGACAAGCAACACAACGUAGGUCGACGAAAAAAGCGUCAAGUAAAAACGCAUUAUUAGAUAUAACUCGAAAAGUAAUUGUUAGAUCUCAAAUAAAUUUAAAUGGGACCAAUUGGCACACGCCACCUUUCGAUUAAAAAAAUUUUUGUCGAAAUCGGUUCACACGGUCAAAAGUUCUGAUGUAACAUACAUUAAAAUAAUUGUGUUUGCUCGCAAACGAAAAAAAACCGACUUCAAUUACAUCGACGA
rnacentral:misc_RNA from 1 species